rnacentral:lncRNA from 1 species
GAUUCCAUUCUUCUUCCAGCUAUUAUCACGUUGAAAAAGACAAGGAAACAUGAAAUUCUGAUUUUUUAUUUAUUAAAUGUUUUAAAAACUUCUGAGAGAGAAUCAAUCACAUAGCUGGAAAAUAUGGGGUAUUAAGUGAAGAAGAACAUGCCAAUGACAUAUUAAGACCAAUCUUUUGCAUGUGUUAUUUCAGAUUGUCUAUAUAAGCAUAUUCGCGCGGAAUAUUAUUUCAUUGUUGUCAAUCACAUGACUGGAAAAUAUGGGGUAUUAAGUGAAGAAGAACAUGCCAAUGACAUAUUAAGACCAAUCUUUUGCAUGUGUUAUUUCACAUUGUUUAUAUAUAUAACUAGGAAGCAUAUUCGCGCG